AAUUAUCAGGAAAUUUUUAUUCUGGAAAUGAACUAACUUUAAUACUUUAAUACAAGAUUAGUAACUUCUGGGAUUUUAAAAGUUAAGUAACAACAGGAUCUAAAAUAAAAUAAUAUGACAUGGCUCUAAGUUAAUGACAAGUGACUAACUGUCUGCCUGUUGUUCCAGCCUGAGUAUUCGGUUACUGAUGGAUACUGGAAGGGGGAAAACAAUACGCUGAGAAGACCUGCAGGGUACAACUUCCAGGAAAUGGGCAGUGGUGGAGGAGUGAUGAGCAUGCCACAUCACAACUGGUCAACGGUCCGAAGGGAAAGGGAAAGUGUUAGGAAUGAAAGUCGCCAGAUGUCGCGCUCAUACAGCUUAGCACGAACAGAAAGAAACCUGGCAGAACAAAUUGACAGGAAAAUCAGCAGCUUUCCGGAAGACCAGAGGGACUAUCCAGCGUAUUCCACAUAUCAGUAUGAAUAUGAGGGGAGGGGCAGUGACUGUCAAUCACUGGAUCAGCUGACUGUUAGCAACCUUGGGGAUAACCUGGACUUCCUGCAGAACCUGGGGCCAAAGUUCAGCACUCUGGGUGGGAUCUGUCAACAGUCAAUGGAGCGCAGGAACGUCCGGCUGUGAAAUGCUCUAGGCCAUUCUUGAAUUUGAGCGCCAUGACACCUGUACAGGCACAGGAUGAUUAUGGAUAUAAGCUAUGAACAUCACAUCUUCAGUGCUAAGACUGCCUGGCCUCAAGGAAUACACUGUGCAUUUGUGCUCAUGAUGGAUGUGUAAAGAAGCAUGUUGGGUGCUUGAAAUAAAAACUUGUGUCUGCAUCCCACCAGCUUGUCUGAAAUGAGGCGGUUGGUGGCUUGGACUGUUAGUUUUGGCUGUGACCAGUUUGAUGGCCUGAUAGGCUGCCAUACUGUUCAAAUCUUAAGAUCCUUUUUUUUAUUCUGCAAACACAAAGCCACACAUCACUACAACAAUUAUUUAUGCUGGUAGUGUUUGUCUGGACUUAUCCUGUACUUGCUGCCUUUAGCUAUCAUACUGUUUUGUACACUUUAACUUUGCACUGCAGUAUCACUUGUAUAUUUAAAGGGUCAGUCCAACCAAAAAUGACAAUUCUAUCAUUUAUUCAUCUUCAUGUCAAUCCAACCCUAUACAGAAACUUAUGUCCACCAUGGAAUAAAAUUUAUACUGCAAUUGU
ensembl:lncRNA